rnacentral:rRNA from 1 species
AAGUUGACGGGGGCCCGCACAAGCGGUGGAGCAUGUGGUUUAAUUCGACGCAACGCGAAGAACCUUACCAGGGCUUGACAUCCCCUGACCGCGUAUGAAAGUACGUUUUCACCCUCGGGUGACAGGGAGACAGGUGGUGCAUGGUUGUCGUCAGCUCGUGUCGUGAGAUGUUGGGUUAAGUCCCGCAACGAGCGCAACCCCUACGUUUAGUUGCUAACGCGUGAAGGCGAGCACUCUAGACGAACUGCCGUUGACAAACGGAGGAAGUGGGAUGACGUCAAAUCAUCAUGCCCCUUAUGUUCUGGGCUACACACGUGCUACAAUGGCCGGUACAGACGGACGCAAAGCCGCGAGGUGGAGCAAAUCCUAAAAAGCCGGUCUCAGUUCGGAUUGCAGGCUGCAAUUCGCCUGCAUGAAGUCGGAAUCGCUAGUAAUCGCAGGUCAGCAUACUGCGGUGAAUACGUUCCCGGGCCUU